rnacentral:misc_RNA from 1 species
GUCUUUCAUAAUCAAGAAGUGCCUGACAAAAUAGAAAAUACAAUACAUUAACAUGUAUAAAAUCAUUUGAAAACAAAUUUGGUAUAGGAAACAAGCAUGUAUAUUAUAUCAUUAGCAUACAGUUGUAGCUAAAGGAGAAUAUCCAAGGGAUAUACAGAAAAUUCCAUGCAUUUGGAAAGAAUGCUCAAAGCUCAAAGUUAUAGCAGGAAAAUGAUCUAGCAGUUGAACUUAUCAAUCCCAUUUCAAAACAUUUAUGUUUCAUUCAGUUAGCAACCAAAAUGUUGACUCUCAUACAUAUUGCCUCCAUGUUGUCAAAGUGCACCCAUGAUACCCAUAUAGGAUAUGUGAACACAAGCUCUUCACCACGCAUCCACAUGUGAUGGGCCAUAUUAUCUUUUCACUUUUUCAGUUUUCUAAAAUUAUUUUCUACCUUCUAAUCUCCUCCUAAAUACUUUACAAAUACCAUUUUUUCCCUGACACUUCUCUCUCUCUCUCUCUCU